rnacentral:rRNA from 1 species
AUUGGACGCUGGCGGCAUGCCUAACACAUGCAAGUCGAACGGCAGCGCGGGGAAACCUGGCGGCGAGUGGCGGACGGGUGAGUAAUAUGUAGGAAUCUGCCUUGAAGAGGGGGAUAACUUGGGGAAACUCAAGCUAAUACCACAUAAUCCCGAGAGGGGAAAGCUGGGGACCGUAAGGCCUGGCGCUUUAAGAUGAGCCUACAUCGGAUUAGCUUGUUGGUGAGGUAAAGGCCCACCAAGGCGACGAUCCGUAGCUGGUCUGAGAGGAUGAUCAGCCACACUGGGACGGAGACACGGCCCAGACUCCUACGGAAGGCAGCAGUGGGGAAUUUUGGACAAUGGGCGCAAGCCUGAUCCAGCCAUGCCGCGUGCGGGAAGAAGGCCUUCGGGUUGUAAACCGCUUUUGUCAGGGAAGAAAUCUUCUGGGUUAAUACCUCGGGAGGAUGACGGUACCUGAAGAAUAAGCACCGGCUAACUACGUGCCAGCCGCCGCCGUAA